CCCUUAGAUGUUCUGGGCCGCACGCGCGCUACACUGAUGCAUUCAACGAGUUUCUUCCUGGUCCGAGAGGAAUGGGUAACCUUUUGAAAGUGCAUCGUGAUAGGGAUAGACUAUUGCAAUUAUUGGUCUUCAACGAGGAAUUCCUAGUAGACGUAGUUCAUCAGACUGCAUCGAUUACGUCCCUGCCCUUUGUACACACCGCCCGUCGCUCCUACCGAUUGAACGAUCCGGUGAAAACUCAGGACUGAUGACUGACCAGCGGUUCGCCGUUGCCAGUUUCGGGAAUUUGUUUGAACCUUAUCGUUUAGAGGAAGGAGAAGUCGUAACA
rnacentral:rRNA from 1 species